rnacentral:rRNA from 1 species
GCACUCUGAAGGAACUGCCGGUGACAAGCCGGAGGAAGGUGGGGAUGACGUCAAGUCCUCAUGGCCCUUACGGGCUGGGCUACACACGUGCUACAAUGGCAGGUACAGUGGGCAGCAAUCCCGCGAGGGUGAGCUAAUCUCCAAAACCUGUCUCAGUUCGGAUUGUUCUCUGCAACUCGAGAGCAUGAAGGCGGAAUCGCUAGUAAUCGCGGAUCAGCAUGUCGCGGUGAAUACGUUCCCGGGUCUUGUACACACCGCCCGUCACACCAUGGGAGUUGGUUUUACCUGAAGCCGGU